UUGGAAACAGAUGCUAAUACCGCAUAGAUCCAAGAACCGCAUGGUUCUUGGCUGAAAGAUGGCCUAAGCUAUCGCUUUUGGAUGGACCCGCGGCGUAUUAGCUAGUUGGUGAGGUGAUCGCUCACCAAGGCGAUGAUACGUAGCCGAACUGAGAGGUUGAUCGGCCACAUUGGGACUGAGACACGGCCCAAACUCCUACGGGAGGCAGCAGUAGGGAAUCUUCCACAAUGGACGCAAGUCUGAUGGAGCAACGCCGCGUGAGUGAAGAAGGCUUUCGGGUCGUAAAACUCUGUUGUUGGAGAAGAAUGGUCGGCAGAGUAACUGUUGUCGGCGUGACGGUAUCCAACCAGAAAGCCACGGCUAACUACGUGCCAGCAGCCGCGGUAAUACGUAGGUGGCAAGCGUUAUCCGGAUUUAUUGGGCGUAAAGCGAGCGCAGGCGGUUUUUUAAGUCUGAUGUGAAAGCCCUCGGCUUAACCGAGGAAGCGCAUCGGAAACUGGGAAACUUGAGUGCAGAAGAGGACAGUGGAACUCCAUGUGUAGCGGUGAAAUGCGUAGAUAUAUGGAAGAACACCAGUGGCGAAGGCGGCUGUCUGGUCUGUAACUGACGCUGAGGCUCGAAAGCAUGGGUAGCGAACAGGAUUAGAUACCCUGGUAGUCCAUGCCG
rnacentral:rRNA from 1 species